GCCUAUACCAGGGACACCCAGGAUGGAGUGCCAACCUAUCACAGGGCACAAUCACACACACUCACACACCCAGGACAGUUUGGAAAUGCCAAACAGCCUACAACUUUGGACUGGUGGAGUAACUGAACUACCCAAAGGAAACCCCUGAAGCACAGGAAGAAAAUGCAGAUUCUGCACACACAGGGCAGAGGCAGGAUUUGAACCCGAACCCCAGCGGUGCGAGGCAAACGUCACUAAGUCACCAAGUCAAGUCAAGAGGUUUCUAUUGUUAUUCAUCUAUAUAGCUUGUAUACAUUGGAAUCAAAUGUUUCUUCAGGACCAUGGUGCAAAACAGAACAGUACACAAGACUACAUAAAGUGCAAAUACACAACAAUACUCAACAGAGUGAGAUGAGUGCAAGACACUAAAUACACAGAACAGGACAAUAAAUACACAGGACAUGGGCUGUAAACUAUUGUGUAAUGUAGCAGCACAAGUCAAAAAUAUUAGCAGCAAAAACGAGUUUCAUAAUAUAAAAGUGACUGAUGCAGCUUUGUAAAGUGAGGUGUGCAGUAGUACCGAGUCAUACUGGGUUAAGUGUUUGACUAACCCAGGCGAGCACUGGGAGGCAGUAGAGUGUUGAGUAAUCUGACUGCCUCAGGGAAGAAACUGUUGCGGAGCCACAGUGGGAACAUUAUUAUGAGUAGUAAAAUGUGAAAGACUUGAUUACAGUCAGUACUCUUGCGAACUUUAAGAUUGGGGUCUAUCUUAAAAAGAGUCGAUUCUCUGUAUUUCAAGCUUUGAAAAUUGUGAUUCUACCCUGGGGUCGAUGCAGUGUCGACUGGUUUCUUCGAGUGAAACUACAGAUGAAGCAUUGUUGUUUAAAUAUAUAAGAGCACAACUUAAUUAUAGUGAAAAAUGCCCAGUCGUACCCAGAAUCUGGAAAAUAUUAUUACAUGAAAUUGACUCUAUGAAUCGACUCCAUUGAUUCUUAACCCUUUGAAAGAAAAUUGGAGUCUAUUCCAAAUUCUCUGAAUCGAAUCAAUCGCAUGUGACACCCACACCCACUGUGUGAAUAUUUCCCCUGAAAUGGGGAUACGUGGCGUACGUGACCAAAAAAAGACAAAACGUAUUUAUACAGAAUGGACUGAGUUUAAGCUAAGGACUUAGCCAAUUAGCUGUAACCACGGAAAGAAGAUCUCUGGCUCAAAGGGAGAAGUGAAGAUCAGGAGAGCUCAGGCCAGGUUGGAGAAGAGGCAAGAGGGGCAAGGCGGUGGUCCAGAGAGGAAAAGAGGUGGAGACAGAGUAGUGACAGCGCCACAGGUGGCCGCAAGAGGGAGCACAGCCGAUCUAGACCAGACGAAGCCAAAGCCAGCAGAUUCAGCGCAGAGGGAGGGAGAGGGAUGUGCAUGGGCCAUCUACAUUGCAUUUUAAUGUUAUUAGAAGUGGGCGUUUGGUUUGUAUAACGGGUAUAGGUAUCUGUACAAAUAUUAAAAUAAAAAUAUUCCCUUUAGGUUUUUGUAGAAUGCACUUGCUCGCGAAGCUCUGUUCUUUCUUUUCAGACGUGGUGUUUGAGUGUGUGAAAUUCACCAUCAGUGUGAGCCAUCCUGUUGUUGUUCGAGUCUGGUUUCUGCCGAGAUGAGUGCCUGUAAUCAACGAUGCACCCGUGGUCCAUUUCGAUGUAGUCUUCCUGGAGAAAGGCGUCUGUUUUGUCCUAUUUGCAAUCCAAUAGGUCUGACCCAAGGUCCAAGCUACAUGAAGGGUUGUUCGGCGUUCCCCCACGUCGCUACACUACUACACCAUCUACUACACUACCUUCCGCUACUCCAGUCACAUCCCAUGUUCUUCGUCUAUUCGGUGCUGAUGCCAUUGUGUAUCGUUUGCUGGUAAACUUGAUCUCCAAGUUUAUGCAUGGUGUUUGUUUUUUUUUUUAAAAAAAAAAAAAAACCUUGAGAGCGCGUUUGAUUUUAAAGGGAGUAACUAUUCCCUUGUAGAACUCUGAUAUAGACUUUGCAAAUGCAGUCUGUAGGCAUUUAUUGUAGUUGUAACAUUUGAACUGCGUCUUUGGUCUUUUGAGGGAAAUUGGGAGGGGCAACUGCGUUUCAGUUUUUUCUUCCACAGGCCCAAUCUCUUAAAGCAAUAGCACCAAAGGCCUCCCUUGCUGUAGUGCACCCAGUGUUCUAAGCUUGUAUGCAAGAAAGUACUGGUGUAAGGACAAGUGAAUCCUCUACUUUGGUUGGAUUUAGAAAGGUACCAUACAUUGGCUUUUUGUAUGUUUUUAUACUCUGUAUCCUACAAGACAAUUAUGUAUUUCCUUGUAUUUACAUAUUUGGGAUGUGAUUGAUUGGGGGGGGGGGGGUCGUUAACUGAAAUCUCUUCCUAGCCUUUGCAGCUUUUCAGAGUGGCUUAGUUAGAGAACUGUGAAUAACACUGUAUGGGAAGGAACCUGCAGUCUGGAUGUGACCCUUCAAGGCAGCUAGUCCAAGCAAGGCAUGGGAUGAAGGAAGGAACCCAAAGGCGUCAAAGAAAUACAAGUUGUAUCGUAAGGUGGCACGUUAUCAGGAUUGUGUUGAAUGUGUACCCAUUCCGUUCAUGGAUAUUGAGUCGUGGGGUGCUGGGGCCGGGGACUGCUUAAUUGUGACUUUUGCAGAUUUAGUGACCCAACCCCUCAAAACCAGUGGUUCAGCUGUGAACUAUCCCCCCCUCGUAAGGAGCAAAGCUGCUGAAUACAGGCUUCGCAUGGUUUUUACCUGUUCAGACGGCAAGUAAUUGGUAUUUCUGUAAAUUAAAAUAAUUUUUUCCACUUGUAUUAGUGACUUAAGUGUCAUUGUUUGGAUUGUUUAAAUGGAUGGGGUUGGUUGUAGGCUCUUCUCCCCCUAUUUUUUUUUUAGUGUGCCGUGUCCAAGUGCUUUCAUGCUCAAGAUCUCCUGAAGAUCACACUCUAACACAUUGUGUAUCAAGGUUUGCUUUUGCAUUCGUCAGCCUCUUUUGCCCUUGCAAAGUCUCAAUGUGGCUCAUACACUUAACAUUCAUUGUACUUGGUAAUUGUCAGUUUCUUGUGAAUGCUUGAAUUCUGUAAAUUACACUUUCUUGGAUAAUAAAUUCAUAGUGUUGUGAUUGGAAAAA